rnacentral:misc_RNA from 1 species
GAUGAAGAACGUAGCGAAAUGCGAUAAGUAGUGUGAAUUGCAGAAUUCAGUGAAUCAUCGAAUCUUUGAACGCACAUUGCGCCCUUUGGUAUUCCUUAGGGCGUGCCUGUUCGAGCGUCAUUUAAACCUUCAAGCUCAGCUUGGUGAUGGGUGACUGUCCUCCCCUCGCGGGGGGACUCGCCUCAAAAACAUUGGCGGCCGGUACAUUGGCUUCGAGCGCAGCAGAAACGCGGUAUCGAGUCCGGUGGAUCGGCUCCCAUAAGUCUAUUCUUUUAUUUUGACCUCGGAUCAGGUAGGGAUACCCGCUGAACUUAAGCAUAUCAAUAAGCGGAGGA